rnacentral:rRNA from 1 species
AUUGAACGCUGGCGGCAGGCCUAACACAUGCAAGUCGAACGAGUGGCGGACGGGUGAGUAAUGUCUGGGAAACUGCCUGAUGGAGGGGGAUAACUACUGGAAACGGUAGCUAAUACCGCAUACCAUCGGAUGUGCCCAGAUGGGAUUAGCUAGUAGGUGGGGUAAAGGCUCACCUAGGCGACGAUCCCUAGCUGGGCUGAGAGGAUGACCAGCAAAACGGAAACUAGGAAACGGUCCAGACUCCUACGGGAGGCAGCAGUGGGGAAUAUUGCACAAUGGGCGCAAGCCUGAUGCAGCCGUGCGGCGUGUAUGAAGAAGGCCUUCGGGUUGUAAAGUACUGUCAGCGGGGAGGCGUUACCCGCAGAAGAAGCACCGGCUAACGCCGUGCCAGCAGCCGCGGUAAUAC